UCCGUAGGCGGUGUGGCAAGUCGGAAGUGAAAUCUCUGGGCUUAACCCAGAGGCUGCUUCCGAAACUGCCGUGCUCGAGUGUGAGAGAGGCGAGUGGAAUUACGGGUGUAGCGGUGAAAUGCGUAGAUAUCCGUAGGAACAUCCGAGGCGAAAGCGGCUCGCUGGAUCACAACUGACGCUGAGGGACGAAAGCUAGGGGAGCAAACAGGAUUAGAUACCCUGGUAGUCCUAGCCCUAAACCAUCAGGACUUGGGGUUUGCCCUGUACGGGGCAAGUCCCGUAGCUAACGCGUUAAGUCCUGCGCCUGGGGAGUACGGUCGCAAGGCUGAA
rnacentral:rRNA from 1 species